CACGGGGGGAGCAAGCGUUGUUCGGAAUCACUGGGCGUAAAGGGCGUGUAGGCGGUCGAGUAAGUGGAAUGUGAAAUACUCCGGCUCACCCGGAGCACUGCAUCCCAAACUGCUCGGCUUGAGUAUGGGAGAGGACGAGGGAAUUCCUGGUGUAGCGGUGAAAUGCGUAGAUAUCAGGAGGAACACCGGUGGCGAAAGCGCUCGUCUGGCCCAAUACUGACGCUGAUGCGCGAAAGCUAGGGGAGCAAACGGGAUUAGAUACCCCGGUAGUCCUAGCCGUAAACGGUGAGCACUAGGUGUUGGAGGCAUCGACCCCUCCAGUGCCGUAGCUAACGCACUAAGUGCUCCGCCUGGGGAGUACGGCCGCAAGGUUGAA
rnacentral:rRNA from 1 species